rnacentral:rRNA from 1 species
AUCAACUUUCGAUGGUAGGAUAGAGGCCUACCAUGGUGGUAACGGGUAACGGGGUGUUAGGGCACGACACCGGAGAGGGAGCCUGAGAAACGGCUACCACAUCCAAGGAUGGCAGCAGGCGCGCAAAUUACCCAAUCCCGACACGGGGAGGUAGUGACAAUAAAUAACAAUACGGGGUUCUUUCGGAUCUCGUAAUUGGAAUGAGUACAAUUUAAAUCUCUUAACGAGGAACAAUUGGAGGGCAAGUCUGGUGCCAGCAGCCGCGGUAAUUCCAGCUCCAAUAGCGUAUAUUAAAGUUGUUGCAGUUAAAAAGCUCGUAGUUGAAUUUCGGGAUCAGAUUGUCGGUCGUGCCUCGGUACGCACUGGCAUUAUUGGUUCCUACCUUCUGAAGAACCGCGAUGUCAUUAAUUUGGUGUCGUGGGGAAUCAGGACUGUUACUUUGAAAAAAUUAGAGUGUUUAAAGCAAGCGCACGCUUGAAUACAUUAGCAUGGAAUAAUGAAAUAGGACGUUUGAUUCUAUUUUGUUGGUUUCUAGGAUCGACAUAAUGAUUAAUAGGGAUAGUUGGGGGCAUUAGUAUUCAAUUGUCAGAGGUGAAAUUCUUGGAUUUAUUGAAGACUAACUACUGCGAAAGCAUUUGCCAAGGAUGUUUUCAUUAAUCAAGAACGAAAGUUAGGGGAUCGAAGACGAUCAGAUACCGUCGUAGUCUUAACCAUAAACUAUGCCGACUAGGGAUCGGAUGAUGUUAAUUUUUUAAUGACUCAUUCGGCGCCUUACGGGAAACCAAAGUGUUUGGGUUC